rnacentral:misc_RNA from 1 species
AGCAGCCGCGGUAAUUCCAGCUCCAAUAGCGUAUAUUAAAGUUGUUGCAGUUAAAAAGCUCGUAGUUGAAUUUCGGGGUUAGUAGGUUGGUCAUGCCUCUGGUAUGUACUGGUCUCACUGAUUCCUCCUUCCUGAUGAGCCGUAAUGCCAUUAAUUUGGUGUUGCGGGGAAUUUGGACUGUUACUUUGAAAAAAAUUUAGAGUGUUUAAAGCAAGCUAACGCUUGAAUACAUUAGCAUGGAAUAAUGAAAUAGGACGUUCGAUCCUAUUUUGUUGGUUUCUAGGAUCGACGUAAUGAUUAAUAGGGAUAGUUGGGGGCAUUAGUAUUCAAUUGUCAGAGGUGAAAUUCUUGGAUUUAUUGAAGACUAACUACUGCGAAAGCAUUUGCCAAGGAUGUUUUCAUUAAUCAAGAACGAAAGUUAGGGGAUCGAAGACGAUCAGAUACCGUCGUAGUCUUAACCAUAAACUAUGCCGACUAGGGAUCGGAUGAUGUUAAUUUUUUAAUGACUCAUUCGGCGCCU